rnacentral:snRNA from 1 species
UCCGUUUAAUCUACUCGAUCCAC